AGUUUGAUCCUGGCUCAGAACGAACGCUGGCGGCAGGCCUAACACAUGCAAGUCGAGCGCGCCUUCGGGUGAGCGGCGGACGGGUGAGUAACGCGUGGGAAUAUGCCCUUUGGUACGGAAUAGUCCUGGGAAACUGGGGGUAAUACCGUAUGCGCCCUUCGRAGGGAAAGAUUUAUCGCCAAAGGAUUAGCCCGCGUUGGAUUAGGUAGUUGGUGGGGUAAUGGCCUACCAAGCCGACGAUCCAUAGCUGGUUUGAGAGGAUGAUCAGCCACACUGGGACUGAGACACGGCCCAGACUCCUACGGGAGGCAGCAGUGGGGAAUCUUAGACAAUGGGGGCAACCCUGAUCUAGCCAUGCCGCGUGAGUGAUGAAGGCCCUAGGGUUGUAAAGCUCUUUCAGCUGGGAAGAUAAUGACGGUACCAGCAGAAGAAGCCCCGGCUAACUCCGUGCCAGCAGCCGCGGUAAUACGGAGGGGGCUAGCGUUGUUCGGAAUUACUGGGCGUAAAGCGCACGUAGGCGGACCGGAAAGUUGGGGGUGAAAUCCCGGGGCUCAACCCCCGGAACUGCCUUUCAAAACUAUCGGUCUGGAGUUCGAGAGAGGUGAGUGGAAUUCCGAGUGUAGAGGUGAAAUUCGUAGAUAUUCGGAGGAACACCAGUGGCGAAGGCGGCUCACUGGCUCGAUACUGACGCUGAGGUGCG
rnacentral:rRNA from 1 species